GAUGAACGCUGGCGGCGUGCCUAAUACAUGCAAGUCGAGCGAACAGACGAGGAGCUUGCUCCUCUGACGUUAGCGGCGGACGGGUGAGUAACACGUGGAAAACCUACCUAUAGGACUGGGAUAACUUCGGGAAACCGGAGCUAAUACCGGAUAAUAUAUUGAACCGCGUGGUUCAAUAGUGAAAGACGGUUUUGCUGUCACUUAUAGAGGGAUCCGCGCUGCAUUAGCUAGUUGGUACGGUAACGGCUUACCAAGGCAACGAUGCGUAGCCGACCUGAGAGGGGGAUCGGCCGCACUGGAACGGGGACACGGUCCAGACGCCUACGGGAGGCAGCAGUAGGGAAUCGUCCGCAAUGGGCGAAAGCCUGACGGAGCAACGCCGCGUGAGUGAUGAAGGUCUUCGGAGCGUAAAACUCUGUUAUUAGGGAAGAACAAAUGUGUAAGUAACUAUGCACGUCUUGACGGUACCUAAUCAGAAAGCCACGGCUAACUACGUG
rnacentral:rRNA from 1 species